rnacentral:rRNA from 1 species
AGAGUUUGAUCCUGGCUCAGAUUGAACGCUGGCGGCAUGCCUAACACAUGCAAGUCGAACGGUAACAGGCCGCAAGGUGCUGACGAGUGGCGGACGGGUGAGUAAUACGUAGGUAUCUGCCCUGUAGUGGGGGAUAACCCGGGGAAACCCGGGCUAAUACCGCAUACGCUCUUUUAUUGUUGAGAUAGGAGAGGAAAGCGAGGGACCGAAAGGCCUCGCGCUAGAGGAUGAGCCUACGUCCGAUUAGCUAGUUGGUAGGGUAAAGGCCUACCAAGGCGACGAUCGAUAGCUGGUCUGAGAGGAUGGCCAGCCACGGCCCAGACUCCUACGGGAGGCAGCAGUGGGGAAUAUUGGACAAUGGGGGAAACCCUGAUCUAGCGAUGCCGCGUGGGUGAAGAAGGCCUGCGGGUUGUAAAGCCCUUUCAGUGGGGAAGAAAAACGGGGUGUGAACAGCGCCUCGUCUUGACGUUACCCACAGAAGAAGCACCGGCUAACUCCGUGCCAGCAGCCGCGGUAAUACGGAGGGUGCGAGCGUUAAUCAGAAUUACUGGGCGUAAAGGGCGCGUAGGUGGUUGGGUAAGUCGGGUGUGAAAGCCCUGGGCUUAACCUGGGAAUGGCAUUCGAGACUACCUAUCUAGAGUCUGGUAGAGGGAAGUGGAAUUUCCGGUGUAGCGGUGAAAUGUGUAGAUAUCGGAAGGAACACCAGUGGCGAAGGCGACUUCCUGGACCAAGACUGACGCUGAGGCGCGAAAGCGUGGGGAUCAAACAGGAUUAGAUACCCCGGUAGUCC